rnacentral:rRNA from 1 species
UAGUGGCGAACGGGUGAGUAACACGUGAGAAACCUGCCCUGAAGACGGGGAUAACAGAAGGAAACUUCUGCUAAUACCCGAUACCCCCAUCGGAUCACAUGGUCUGAUGAGGAAAUGGAUUCCGCUUCAGGAGGGUCUCGCGGCCUAUCAGCUUGUUGGUGGGGUAAUGGCCCACCAAGGCUUGGACGGGUAGCUGGUCUGAGAGGACGAUCAGCCACACUGGGACUGAGACACGGCCCAGACUCCUACGGGAGGCAGCAGUAAGGAAUAUUGCGCAAUGGGCGAAAGCCUGACGCAGCAACGCCGCGUGCGGGAUGAAGGCCCUCGGGUUGUAAACCGCUUUCAGUAGGGAAGAAAAUGACGGUACCUACAGAAGAAGCCCCGGCCAACUACGUGCCAGCAGCCGCGGUAACACGUAGGGGGCAAGCGUUGUCCGGAUUUAUUGGGCGUAAAGAGCUCGUAGGCGGUUUCGUAAGUCGGAUGUGAAAACUCCAGGCUCAACUUGGAGACGCCAUUCGAUACUGCGAUGACUUGAGUCCGGUAGGGGAGUGUGGAAUUCCUGGUGUAGCGGUGAAAUGCGCAGAUAUCAGGAGGAACACCGGCGGCGAAGGCGGCACUCUGGGCCGGUAC